rnacentral:rRNA from 1 species
UACGUAGGGACCGAGCGUUGUCCGGAAUCAUUGGGCGUAAAGAGCGUGUAGGCGGCUCGCUAAGUCUUGCGUGAAAUCUCGGGGCUCAACCCCGAGCGGUCGUGAGAAACUGGCGGGCUAGAGUGCGGGAGAGGAAAGUGGAAUUCCUGGUGUAGCGGUGAAAUGCGUAGAUAUCAGGAGGAACACCGGUGGUGUAGACGGCUUUCUGGACCGACACUGACGCUGAGACACGAAAGCGUGGGUAGCAAACAGG